UUGAUGAAACUCUGGAUAACUCCACUUGACCGCAUGGCCUUGCGCCGGCGGCUGAUCUAAUAAAUGUCUGCCUUAUCAACUGUCGACGGUAGGAGCCCGGCCUACCGUGGUGAUAACGGGUAGCGGGGAAUAAGGGUUCUAUACCGGAGAGGGAGCAUGAGAAACGGCUACCACAUCCAAGGAAGGCAGCAGGCACGCAAAUUACCCACUCCCGGCACGGGGAGGUAGUGACGAUCAAUAACGAUGCGGGACUCUGAUGAGGCUCCGUAAUCGGAAUGGGCGUAGUUUAAAUCUCUCGCCUGUAGGCCCUUUCCAUCGUACGCUGAGCGCCCGACCGCGAGAUUGCGAGUCUUUGGGAGAGCAUCGGCUGAAAAUGGAGCAGCGCCUAAAUCAAAGUGGAGGGCAAGUCUGGUGCCAGCAGCCGCGACGAUUCUAUCUCCACUAGCGUAUAUUAAAGUUGCUGCAGUUAAAAAGCUCGUAGUCGGAUCUCGGGAUCGUGUCGGCGUUCUCGUGGCUGUCUCUGCGGUUCUGCCGUUGGGGGUGGUCGCGGGUCGUCGGCCCUGCCGGCGAGGUCCCCGCCUGUUGGCGGGGUUCCACCUUGCUCGUGCAGCCCGCCGUUGCGUUUGGGCGGGUGUCCUUAAUUGGAUGCCCGUCUCUCGAACGUGACCCGUUUACCUUGAACAAAUCGGAGUGCUCAAAGCAGGCUCUACGUCGCUCGAACGGUAGCGCAUGGAAUAAUAGAAGAGGACCGGCUUCCGCUUCUGUUGGUCUCACGGAGGCAGGUAAUGAUCAAGAGGGACGGACGGGGGCAGAGGUAUGGCUCGGCGAGAGGUGAAAUUCUUGGACCCUAGCCAGACCCUCGAGAGCGAAAGCAUCUGCCAAGGAUGUUUCCAUUGAUCAAGAACGAAAGUUAUGGGAUCGAACGGGAUUAGAUACCCCGGUAGUCAUAACCGUAAACGAUGCCAACCGGGAAUUUGGCGGCGUUACUUCCAUGACCCGUCAAGCGCCCGACCCGGGAAACCGAGAGUCUUUGGGUUCCGGGGGGAGUAUGGUUGCAAAGCUGAAACUUAAAGGAAUUGACGGAAGGGCACCACCAGGAGUGGAGCCUGCGGCUUAAUUUGACUCAACACGGGGAACCUCACCCGGCCCGGACACCGCGAGGAUUGACAGACUGAGAGCUCUUUCUCGAUUCGGUGGGUGGUGGUGCAUGGCCGUUCUUAGUUGGUGGAGCGAUCUGUCUGGUUAAUUCCGAUAACGAACGAGACCCCGACCUGCUAACUAGCCCUCGGGUCCUGCUUCUGUUGGGCCCGAUGGAAUGAUUCGCUUCUUAGAGGGACUCGCGGCGCCUAGCCGCACGAAGGGGGGCGAUAACAGGUCUGUGAUGCCCUUAGAUGUUCGGGGCUGCACGCGCGCUACACUGAAGGCAUCAGCGUGCGCUUUGUCCGUUCCCUGCCUGAAAAGGCCGGGUAACCCGCUGAACCGCCUUCGUGCCUGGGAUAGGGAUUUGCAAUUAUCUCCCUUGAACGAGGAAUUCCCAGUAGGCGCGAGUCAUCAGCUCGCGUCGAUUACGUCCCUGCCCUUUGUACACACCGCCCGUCGCUACUACCGAUCGAACGAUGUAGAGAGGUC
rnacentral:rRNA from 1 species